AGAUAGUAAGGUGGCGGACGGGUGAGUAACACGUAAAGACUUGCCCUGCAGUCUGGGACAACUACUGGAAACGGUAGCUAAUACCGGAUAUUGCCGCAUGGCGAAAGCUAUAUGCGCUGCAGGAGAGCUUUGCGUCCCAUUAGUUAGUUGGUGAGGUAACGGCUCACCAAGACCGCGAUGGGUAGCCGGCCUGAGAGGGUGAACGGCCACAAGGGGACUGAGACACGGCCCUUACUCCUACGGGAGGCAGCAGUGGGGAAUAUUGGACAAUGGACCAAAGUCUGAUCCAGCGAUUCUGUGUGCACGAUGACGGUCUUAGGAUUGUAAAGUGCUUUCAAUCGGGAAAAAGAAAGUGAUGGUACCGAUAGAAGAAGCGACGGCUAAAUACGUGCCAGCAGCCGCGGUAAUACGUAUGUCGCAAGCGUUAUCCGGAUUUAUUGGGCGUAAAGCGCGUCUAGGCGGUUUGGUAAGUCUGAUGUGGAAAUGCGGGGCUCAACUCCGUAUUGCGUUGGAAACUGCCAGACUAGAGUACUGGAGAGGUGGGCGGAACUACAAGUGUAGAGGUGAAAUUCGUAGAUAUUUGUAGGAAUGCCGAUAGAGAAG
rnacentral:rRNA from 1 species